CGGCGUAUUCCUCGGGAGAGAAAUGUGUUCGGAAAGAAAAGAUUACGCUUCCAGACACACAAGCCGGGGAAUGCAGGAAUGUGACGUUUAGGCCGGGUACGAGAGGGCUGGAGUUUGAAAAUGAGGGAGCACUGGGAAAGGAACGCCAGGAAGGUAACAGGAUCGCCUGCAUAACCCCCCGGAGGAGGUGCAGACUGAGACAGGGACACUGAGUGGACUCCCCUAUUGGUGUGCUGUGGUACUGCAGUGGGACCCCUGUGGAGCGCCUUGACAGUUCUGUGCAGUGUGCGUCUGGGUGUGUGUGAGCACCCGUUGAGUAGUACCACCAACCCUGGUCCUCCAGUACCACCAACCCUGGUCCUCCAGUACCACCAACCCUGGUCCUCCAGUACCACCAACCCUGGUCCUCCAGUACCACCAACCCUGUUCCUCCAGUACCACCAACCCUGGUCCUCCAGUACCACCAACCCUG
rnacentral:lncRNA from 1 species